rnacentral:rRNA from 1 species
GAUGAACGCUGGCGGCGUGCUUAACACAUGCAAGUCGAACGAAGCAUUUAAAACAGAUUAUUUCGGUAUGAAGUUUUUUAUGACUGAGUGGCGGACGGGUGAGUAACGCGUGGGUAACCUGCCUCGUACUGGGGGAUAGCAGCUGGAAACGGCUGGUAAUACCGCAUAAGCGCACAAUGUUGCAUGACAUGGUGUGAAAAACUCCGGUGGUAUAAGAUGGACCCGCGUCUGAUUAGCUAGUUGGUGAGAUAACAGCCCACCAAGGCGACGAUCAGUAGCCGACCUGAGAGGGUGACCGGCCACAUUGGGACUGAGACACGGCCCAGACUCCUACGGGAGGCAGCAGGGGGGAAUAUUGCACAAUGGAGGAAACUCUGAUGCAGCGACGCCGCGUGAGUGAAGAAGUAAUUCGUUAUGUAAAGCUCUAUCAGCAGGGAAGAUAGUGACGGUACCUGACUAAGAAGCUCCGGCUAAAUACGUGCCAG